GACGAACGCUGGCGGCGUGCCUAAUACAUGCAAGUUGAGCGCUGAAGGUUGGUACUUGUACCAACUGGAUGAGCAGCGAACGGGUGAGUAACGCGUGGGGAAUCUGCCUUUGAGCGGGGGACAACAUUUGGAAACGAAUGCUAAUACCGCAUAAAAACUUUAAACACAAGUUUUAAGUUUGAAAGAUGCAAUUGCAUCACUCAAAGAUGAUCCCGCGUUGUAUUGGCUAGUUGGUGAGGUAAAGGCUCACCAAGGCGAUGAUACAUAGCCGACCUGAGAGGGUGAUCGGCCACAUUGGGACUGAGACACGGCCCAAACUCCUACGGGAGGCAGCAGUAGGGAAUCUUCGGCAAUGGACGAAAGUCUGACCGAGCAACGCCGCGUGAGUGAAGAAGGUUUUCGGAUCGUAAAACUCGGUUGGUAGAGAAGAACGUUGGUGAGAGUGGAAAGCUCAUCAAGUGACGGUAACUACCCAGAAAGGGACGGCUAACUACGUG
rnacentral:rRNA from 1 species